GAUGCAUAACUAUAGCAGGAGAAAGAAGGCUUGAAGCUAAGGAAACAGGGCUCCAAGUAGGCCCUGACACUCAUCGUCUGUAUAUAUUCAUGAUAAGGAGCUUGUGAGAACACAAGACUCUGCUGAACACAUUAAUACAAUUUAUUAUCACAAUCCUCAAAACACCCCAUAAUAUCUUCAAUGAGCUGAAUUUUUGAAGCCCAGAAUGGUUUCUGUAGCUCAAAGUUUGUGGGUGGAGAUAGGUGGUGAAGCAGACACAUAUUAACUGUGUGUACAAGCAGCUGAACUGCAAGGUAGACCUGACAAAGCAACAAGUACAAGAAUGUGUGUGUGUGUGUGUGUGUGUCGUUAAUGAUUGCAUCCUAAACAGCUGUAAGAUCAAAGCAUUAACUGACCUAUUGUUUGAAUGGAGAAGCUGCUGAACUGCAGUGAAUUUAGGGCUCUGAACUUCUUCACAUAGCACGAUUUCCUUAAAUCCCAGAAUGAAAAUAAGAACAUCGUACGAAUCCCCCGCCCUUCAUGAAUACAAUGAUGUGUUUUUCAUGUCUGCACUCCGAAAAAUGUGGCCACAACAGCGAGUUAAAAAAGUCUGAGCCUGAGUGACGAUCAGGAUUUACUUGUAGAAAAAAUACAUUAGGGCCAAUGGGGAGAGAUUUCCGCCUAUUUGGACAGUUGGUCACCUGCUGUCCAAGGGGUAGGAUUUAAUGAUUUGAAACCUCUUUUGUGAGAAGCAGGACACAUAUACCUCCAUUUUGAUGUAUUUUUUAUGGCUGUGGAGUGAGAUUUGUGGGCGUGGGAGCGAUAUAUUCGAGCGAGGUUCUGUCGAUCAGAGACGAGGUCUGCACUCUAGCUUUUCAAAUCAUCACUCUAGCCUCUCCAAUACACCCCUAUUAUAAAGCCUGAAAUUUGCUGAAAACCACAAGUUGCUUAAAGCUAAAUUGUGGAAAAACUGUAAAAGAUAGCACAAAAAGGUUAAUACAAUAUCAAUAGUCGACAAGACAAUGAACAUUUUAAAGCAAAAAUGAGGUCUCUAGGUGAAAGUAUGCUGAAGUUAUAAGGCUUAGAAGGUGGACGAAUAACAGGAAGAAUUGGAAGAUUUCCCCAUUCAUUUCUAUGGGAAAAAAAGUUUGGCACAAAAAGUGAAAAAUAAUAAAAAGUAUAAAGGGUAGAAAAGAGAAAAGUAAUAGCCAUCAUGUCCUGAAGGAGUGGAAUCGUAUAAAGUUUGAACGGUUGAAAUCGGACAAAGUUUGAAGGAGGAGAAGCGGUCCAAAG